rnacentral:rRNA from 1 species
AUGCAAGUCGAACGGCAGCACAGUGGAGCUUGCUCCAUGGGUGGCGAGUGGCGGACGGGUGAGGAAUACAUGGGAAUCUGCCCAGUCGUGGGGGAUAACGUAUGGAAACGUACGCUAAUACCGCAUGCGCCCUUCGGGGGAAAGUCGGGGACCGCAAGGCCUGACGCGAUUGGAUGAGCCCAUGUUCGAUUAGCUAGUUGGCGGGGUAACGGCCCACCAAGGCGACGAUCGAUAGCUGGUCUGAGAGGAUGAUCAGCCACACUGGAACUGAGACACGGUCCAGACUCCUACGGGAGGCAGCAGUAGGGAAUAUUGGACAAUGGGCGCAAGCCUGAUCCAGCCAUGCCGCGUGAGUGAAGAAGGCCCUCGGGUUGUAAAGCUCUUUUGUUGGGGAAGAAAAGCAGUUGGUUAAUACCCGAUUGUUCUGACGGUACCCAUAGAAUAAGCACCGGCUAACUUCGUGCCAGCAGCCGCGGUAAUACGAAGGGUGCAAGCGUUACUCGGAAUUACUGGGCGUAAAGCGUGCGUAGGUGGUUGUUUAAGUCUGAUGUGAAAGCCCUGGGCUCAACCUGGGAAUGGCAUUGGAUACUGGAUAGCUAGAGUGCGGUAGAGGGUAGUGGAAUUCCCGGUGUAGCAGUGAAAUGCGUAGAGAUCGGGAGGAACAUCCGUGGCGAAGGCGACUAUCUGGGCCASCACUGACACUGAGGCACGAAAGCGUGGGGAGCAAACAGGAUUAGAUACCCUGGUAGUCCACGCCCUASACGAUGUGAACUGGGAUGUUGGGCUCAACUUGGAGCUCAGUAUCGAAGCUAACGCGUUAAGUUUCGCCCGCCUGGGGGAGUACGGU